rnacentral:misc_RNA from 1 species
GAAAACCACAACUGGUGACCCUUAAGAAUUCUUCAAUCUCGGUGCCCAACGGGGCACCUCCAGAUAUAAUCAGGCGGAUCCGUCCUCCAAGUCUGGCCUUGACCUUUUGAAAUGCUAACCAAUCUGCAAAUGGUGAAGCAGUUUUGUGCGUGUAGCCUAAUCUCAUCCAGUGUAGUUUGUGUUUGUACAGAAAGUCAAAGAUCAUCCUUCUCAGCGGUCUCAGUUCUGCU